GCAGUGGGGUGGAUAUUCUGAUGUCUCCUUGAAGAUAAGGAAGCCAAAUGCCUGCUGGAGCGAGCUGACUGAGGGAUUGCUGCUGGAUGGGCCAUAGCACCGUCUCCAUCUGCAGAUCUGGGAAACUCCUGGCAACAGUGUGCCAUUAUACAGAGAUGCCUCGGGAGCCAAACGUCUCCUCUGACACUGUUGGCUGCGUGCCCUGGAAUCUGUUGGUGGCAUGACAAGAACCACCAUUCUUGGCUGGAAGUGACACGUGAAGGCAAGCAGGGAAGAAGACACCUGAAGGGAACCUUUUUGGCUCAUAUUUCGGGUUCUUGGGCAUCCCCACAGCACCCUACAUGCCCUGGCCUCGCAGGCUUCCAUCUUUCCCCAUCAUGGCUCAUGGUCGACCAUCAGUCAACCGUUGGUCACUGGCUUUCUUGGGUACAAGGGCACACUGCUGGCUUGUGGUCAACUGUUGGCCAACCAUUGGUCACCCGGGACCUCCAGGUCCUUCUCCACUGAGC
ensembl:lncRNA